rnacentral:lncRNA from 1 species
CUAUCAGUGUAAUGUAACAAUUGCCUACCCAUGUCCUGUUUUCGUUACAUUAGCUCAUCCUAUUUUUUCUAUCUUGUUUUUAAAGGGUGUGUUCAAUUGCGUAAACAGGUUACUUCUACAAAAGUUUAAACGACUAACUCUCGUUAAUUAUAUUGGCUAGUGUUGGUAAACAUGUUUCGCGUAGUGGAAAAUCCUGAUGGUUCCACUUUGGUUUACAAGGCCAACACCAAUGAGUUGCUGUGUGUUGUACAAGGAAAACAUCCUUUGCCAACAGGUGCUUCCCAAUCAGUUCUAGCUCGAAAAACAAAAGACAUUCUUAAAACUUGUAGCAAAGGUAUGACAGUUUUUCUUAAUC